CUACAGGGGUAUCUAAUCCUGUUUGCUCCCCACGCUUUCGCGCCUCAGCGUCAGUACUCAUCCAGGUAGGCGCCUUCGCCACCGGUGUUCCUUCACAUCUCUACGGAUUUUACCCCUACACGUGAAAUUCCCCUACCCCCUAUGAGACUCUAGGUUAACAGUUUCAGACGCAGUUCCAGGGUUGAGCCCUGGGAUUUCACAUCUGACUUGCUAACCCGCCUGCGCGCGCUUUACGCCCAGUAAAUCCGAACAACGCUUGCACCCUCCGUAUUACCGCGGCGGCUGGCAC
rnacentral:rRNA from 1 species